rnacentral:rRNA from 1 species
UACGGAGGAUCCGAGCGUUAUCCGGAUUUACUGGGUUUAAAGGGUGCGUAGGCGGGCGCCUAAGUCAGCGGUGAAAGGCAGCGGCUCAACCGUUGGAUUGCCGUUGAAACUGGGCGCCUUGGAUUCGGUCGAGGCCGGCGGAAUGCGUGGUGUAGCGGUGAAAUGCUUAGAUAUCACGCGGAACGCCGAUUGCGAAGGCAGCCGGCCAGGCCUGGAUCGACGCUGAGGCACGACAGCGUGGGGAUCAAACAGG